UCUCCUACGGGACGCAGCAGUGGGGAAUAUUGGGCAAUGGGCGCAAGCCUGACCCAGCAACGCCGCGUGAAGGAAGAAGGCUUUCGGGUUGUAAACUUCUUUUCUCAGGGACGAAGCAAGUGACGGUACCUGAGGAAUAAGCCACGGCUAACUACGUGCCAGCAGCCGCGGUAAUACGUAGGUGGCAAGCGUUAUCCGGAUUUACUGGGUGUAAAGGGCGUGUAGGCGGGGACGCAAGUCAGAUGUGAAAACCACGGGCUCAACCUGUGGCCUGCAUUUGAAACUGUGUUUCUU
rnacentral:rRNA from 1 species